rnacentral:rRNA from 1 species
GACGAACCGUGCGAACGUUGUUCGGAUUCACUGGGCUUAAAGGGCGCGUAGGCGGGCGGUCAAGUCGGGGGUGAAAUCUUUCCGCUUAACGGGAAGCGUGCCUCCGAUACUGAUCGCCUCGAGGGAGGUAGGGGCAUGUGGAACUUCCGGUGGAGCGGUGAAAUACGUAGAUAUCGGAAGGAACGCCGGUGGCGAAAGCGACGUGCUGGACCUCUUCUGACGCUGAGGCGCGAAAGCUAGGGGAGCAAACGGG